CCCAGGCUGAGUGUUGGUGGAGAAGUAAUGAUUAACCUUCCUCUCAACCGGGCCGAGCCAGCGGCCUGACUCGGCCGCGGUCGAGGGAUGUAGUGAGGGCGGAUCCGAGGCGACCCUAGCGCUAUCAGCCACUGCCACUGCAGCGGUGGGGACUGCGGAGGGAGGGGACAGACAGCAUCAAGAGGCAGCCAAAAGGGAUCGGAGUGCAAGGCAAAGGGAUCGCAACUGCGGGUGUCAGGAAACCAGGGAAAGCGAAAUAGCCACAGACGCUGCUGUGUGGAUGCGAGGAGCAGGCGGUGCGCGUGCCAGAGCCGGGAGCGGGCAAGGCAGGGGGAGACCCGCCUGCGAGACAGGGAGGCCGGCCGAAGAGCAGGGCCGCCCAGGCGAGGACAGGCUGCAAGGUGGCUGGAAACAAAGGACCGGAGCGAAGGGGAGAGGGGACACCGAGUCAAGAGGGGCUGGCUGAAACAGGGAGAGGCCCAAGGAAAGGGGGUCUCUCAGGGGACCCGCCAAGGUUUGUAUAUUCCUGCCUUCUCUCACGUCCAGCCUAGAGCCAGGACGCCCUGGGGGUUCUUGGCUCGCCGUUUGUGGCCUGGGGUUGGGCUGGGGGUGUUGCUGCAGCUGUGGGGGCCGUGUAAGUGUGCAUGCGUGUGUGAGCGCGAGUGUGUGUGUUCGCACGCGACGCUUUGGGCAGGCGAGGGAAGGGAUAAGGAGGGGAGGGCCUUCGCUGUAGGGUUAGACCCCUGCCCCAGGCGACUGCAACUCUCUGCCCUCCACCCUCCGGCGGGCCAGAGAUUCCCCGCACUUGAAACAAAAGGCCUGAACCGAAUCAUUCAGGAGACAGGGCAAGAUCUCUUUAUGGAAAAAAAGAAAAAAAAAAGUGCCUUGAUUUGAGAUUUUAAGGGUUACCUGCAUCCAGAAUUAUCGCUUAACUUUCUGUAACUGUUCCUAGAAAAGAAAAGGUGCGACAUAAAUCUGGGAUAGUAGGUCCAGGCCCGGUAGUUUGUCCUGCCACGUCUAGACCUGCGGUAGGGUCUAGACCCGCGGCUAACGAAUAUGUUGAAGAAACUGACUAGUGGAGGAAUACCCUUGCAAUUUCUAAAUCAAUUAAAGAGAAUUUCUUAAGUGUC